GAUUGGAAACAUUUUAAAAGCGGAUACAUAUACAAUCAAGAGAGCUUCACAGAUCUUCUGUCUGAUAUCAACAUGAUGACAAGCAUGAAGAUGACAAGCACGAACACCUGAAGCUGAUUUAAAACAGGACAUGCAUGUUUAUUUCGGGAGUUUAUGAGUUCAUGUACUUGCAUCGGCAUGGCACAUCAGGAUACUACACCCAAUACAAUAGGUGAGAGCACAACAGCUGGAGAGCAGGAGAACAUUAAC